rnacentral:rRNA from 1 species
CGAACGGGUGUGUAACACGUGGGCAACCUGCCCAAAANAGGGGGAGUAACACUUGGAAACAGGUGCUAAUACCGCAUAACCAUAGUUACCGCAUGGUAACUAUGUAAAAGGUGGCUAUGCUACCGCUUUUGGAUGGGCCCGCGACGCAUUAGCUAGUUGGUGGGGUAAAGGCUUACCAAGGCAAUGAUGCGUAGCCGAACUGAGAGGUUGAUCGGCCACAUUGGGACUGAGACACGGCCCAAACUCCUACGGGAGGCAGCAG